rnacentral:rRNA from 1 species
AUUGAACGCUGGCGGCAUGCCUUACACAUGCAAGUCGAACGGUAACAGGUCUUCGGAUGCUGACGAGUGACGAACGGGUGAGUAAUACAUCGGAACGUGCCCGAUCGUGGGGGAUAACGAGGCGAAAGCUUUGCUAAUACCGCAUACGAUCUACGGAUGAAAGCGGGGGAUCUUCGGACCUCGCGCGGACGGAGCGGCCGAUGGCAGAUUAGGUAGUUGGUGGGAUAAAAGCUUACCAAGCCGACGAUCUGUAGCUGGUCUGAGAGGAUGAUCAGCCACACUGGGACUGAGACACGGCCCAGACUCCUACGGGAGGCAGCAGUGGGGAAUUUUGGACAAUGGGCGAAAGCCUGAUCCAGCCAUGCCGCGUGCAGGAUGAAGGCCUUCGGGUUGUAAACUGCUUUUGUACGGAACGAAAAGCCUCUUUCUAAUAAAGAGGGGUCAUGACGGUACCGUAAGAAUAAGCACCGGCUAACUACGUG